GAGGGUAUAGCUCAGUGGUUGAGUGCGUGCUUAGCGUGUAUGAGGUCAUGGGUUCAAUCCCCAAUAACUCCA
rnacentral:tRNA from 1 species